GUUCGUACUAGCAAGGUCUGGUCCAAACUCGGUUUGGGUGUGUGCCUAGCCACAGGGUAGUAGAUUAGAUGGAUUAAACUGAAUAAAAAUAACAUGGCUUCCAACCUAGAAAAUUUUGCAAAGCAACUUAGCUACACUUCUUUCCUGGAUGCUGCACUCCAGCCACAGAUGGGCAAUGCUUUAUGCCUCUGAGGUUUACCGUUUACGUGGCCGAAGAGUUAAGAGAGGGAAAACAGGGGACCUCCCAUAGGCGUGAGCCACAACACGCCAAGUGAAUGCGAAAUUGGAGAAAGGAACUUGCACGAAGACUCCCGUUUCUUAGCGUCAUGUUCCAUCCCCCUCUAUUAGUAUUAUACCAAUCAGUAACACCAAAGGCCUCUUAAAAAUCCCAACCUCUGUACCUUUUUAACUUUAUCUAACUAUGGAAAUACCAAUCAAACAACGAAUAAAGUUAUUCUUCGUUUAACUGAUUAGAGGAUGAAUACCGAUAGUUAAAGUUUUUUAAGGGGUGGUUAGCAAUUCAGCAUUCAAAGUACAGCCUGGAUGGCUAACUUUUUUCGCUCUCUUG
rnacentral:lncRNA from 1 species